rnacentral:rRNA from 1 species
CAGUAGCCGCGGUAAUACGUAGGGUGCGAGCGUUAAUCGGAAUUACUGGGCGUAAAGCGUGCGCAGGCGGUUGUGUAAGACAGGUGUGAAAUCCCCGGGCUUAACCUGGGAACUGCGCUUGUGACUGCACAGCUAGAGUAUGGCAGAGGGGGGUGGAAUUCCACGUGUAGCAGUGAAAUGCGUAGAGAUGUGGAGGAACACCGAUGGCGAAGGCAGCCCCCUGGGCCAAUACUGACGCUCAUGCACGAAAGCGUGGGGAGCAAACAGGAUUAGAUACCCCCGUAGUCCCUGUCUCUUAUAC